rnacentral:misc_RNA from 1 species
UCGUAACAAGGUUUCCGUAGGUGAACCUGCGGAAGGAUCAUUAGUGAUUGGGCUCACGCCCGUUUACACAUCCAACACCUCUGUGAACCGUCGGUCGGCCGUGAGGGCCGAUCCUUUUACAACACAAUGUGUCAUGAACGUCAUAUGUAUAACAAUUGAAAAAACUUUCAACAACGGAUCUCUUGGCUCUCGCAUCGAUGAAGAACGCAGCGAAAUGCGAUAAGUAAUGUGAAUUGCAGAAUUCAGUGAAUCAUCGAAUCUUUGAACGCACCUUGCGCCUCUUGGUAUUCCGAGAGGCAUGCCUGUUUGAGUGUCAUGAAAAAUCAACCCCUCGGGUUUUCCGACCUGGGGUGGCUUGGAACUGGGCGCUGCCGCUUGACUGCCGGCUCGCCUCAAAGGUCUCAGUGGGGAAGAUCGACCCGUGCCAGACGUGAUAAGUUUCGUCCGGCUACGUCGUGAAGCCUGCUCACAACCACCACUACUAUCUCUUGAUUGACCUCAAAUCAGGUAGGGCUACCCGCUGAACUUAAGCAUAUCA